AUUUAGGUAGCUUAACUUAAAGCAUAUCUCUGAAGAAGGUAAAAUGAGAAUCCUCCCUAAAUA
rnacentral:tRNA from 1 species